rnacentral:rRNA from 1 species
AUUGAACGCUGGCGGCGUGCCUAACACAUGCAAGUCGAGCGGUAACAGGUGUAGCAAUACAUGCUGACGAGCGGCGAACGGGUGAGUAAUGCUUUGGAAUCUGCCCAUGUAGUGGGGAAUAACCAGCCGAAAGGUUGGCUAAUACCGCAUACGACCCUUGCCCACAAGGCAAAGGUGAAAGCAGGGGAUCGCAAGACCUUGCGCUAUUGGAUGAGCCGAAGUCGGAUUAGCUAGUUGGUAGGGUAACGGCCUACCAAGGCGACGAUCCGUAGCUGGUCUGAGAGGACGACCAGCCACACUGGGACUGAGACACGGCCCAGACUCCUACGGGAGGCAGCAGUGGGGAAUAUUGGACAAUGGGCGCAAGCCUGAUCCAGCGAUGCCGCGUGUGUGAAGAAGGCCUGCGGGUUGUAAAGCACUUUCAGUAGGGAAG